rnacentral:rRNA from 1 species
UGGGGGAUAUUAGACAAUGGGGGAAACCCUGAUCUAGCAACGCCGCGUGAAGGAUGAAGGUCUUCGGAUUGUAAACUUCUUUGACGAGGGAAGAUAAUGACGGUACCUCGAGAACAAGCCACGGCUAACUACGUGCCGGCAGCCGCGGUAAUACGUAGGUGGCGAGCGUUGUCCGGAUUUACUGGGUGUAAAGGGCGUGUAGGCGGAGAAGCAAGUCAGAAGUGAAAUCCAUGGGCUUAACCCAUGAACUGCUUUUGAAACUGUUUCCCUUGAGUAUCGGAGAGGCAGGCGGAAUUCCUAGUGUAGCGGUGAAAUGCGUAGAUAUUAGGAGGAACACCAGUGGCGAAGGCGGCCUGCUGGACGACAACUGACGCUGAGGCGCGAAAGCGUGGGGAGCAAACAGGAUUAGAUACCCUGGUAGU